GUGGGUAUAGCUUAGUGGCAGAGUGUGUGCUUAGCAUGCAUGAGGUCCUGGAUUCAAUACCCAGUACUUCCA
rnacentral:tRNA from 1 species